GGAAAACUGGAGAUCGUCACGGCAGGAAGCGGAUGGUUUGGUCCACUCUGAGCCACAUUCUCACACCAGCACCGAGAGAAGAUCCCCACCCCAGAGGAGCAGGAAAGGGCAGAGGGUGACACAGACCCCAGAGCUAGGGACAGGCGCUGGAACACCACGGAGCCACCAAGCAGGGUUCAAGGCCAUUUCAGCUCCUCUCUUAUGGAGGCACCAUAUGUUCCAUCUCGCACAUCAGCAG